GACGAACGCUGGCGGCGUGCUUAACACAUGCAAGUCGAACGGAAAGGCCCUGCUUUUGUUGGGUGCUCGAGUGGCGAACGGGUGAGUAACACGUGAGUAACCUGCCCUUGACUUUGGGAUAACUUCAGGAAACUGGGGCUAAUACCGGAUAGGAGCUCCUGCUGCAUGGUGGGGGUUGGAAAGUUUCGGCGGUUGGGGAUGGACUCGCGGCUUAUCAGCUUGUUGGUGGGGUAGUGGCUUACCAAGGCUUUGACGGGUAGCCGGCCUGAGAGGGUGAACGGCCACAUUGGGACUGAGAUACGGCCCAGACUCCUACGGGAGGCAGCAGUGGGGAAUAUUGCACAAUGGGCGGAAGCCUGAUGCAGCAACGCCGCGUGCGGGAUGACGGCCUUCGGGUUGUAAACCGCUUUCGCCUGUGACGAAGCGUGAGUGACGGUAAUGGGUAAAGAAGCACCGGCUAACUACGUG
rnacentral:rRNA from 1 species